rnacentral:rRNA from 1 species
GUGAGGAAUAUUGGUCAAUGGGCGAGAGCCUGAACCAGCCAUGACGCGUGCAGGAAGAAUGCCCUAUGGGUUGUAAACUGCUUUUAUUUGGGAAUAAACCUUUCUACGUGUAGAAAGCUGAAGGUACUAAAUGAAUAAGCACCGGCUAACUCCGUGCCAGCAGCCGCGGUAAUACGGAGGGUGCAAGCGUUAUCCGGAAUCAUUGGGUUUAAAGGGUCCGCAGGCGGAUUAAUAAGUCAGUGGUGAAAUCUCAUAGCUUAACUAUGAAACUGCCAUUGAUACUGUUAGUCGUGAAUAUGGUCGAUGUGGGCAGAAUAUGACAUGUAGCGGUGAAAUGCUUAGAUAUGUUAUAGAACACCGAUAGCGAAGGCAGCUCACAAGGCCAUUAUUGACGCUCAUGAACGAAAGCGUGGGGAGCAAACAGGAUUAGAAACCCGAGUAGUCC